GUUCUGAAGCUCCCUGGCCAUGGCCCUGAGCUGGUCUCCCCAGGCAAGGAGGCAGUAUCAGGGCAGCCACACCCAAGGAAGGACAUCCAAAGGGAGUACCUGACUCAGGAGAACAGGAAGGAUGAGAAGGAAAAAACAGCCCAUUCUACUUCCCACCAGAUUGCAUGCCACUAAAAGAGGUUAAAGAUUCCCAACUUCUCCAACUCUUCUUCUCCAAAGACCUGUGGUUGGAAAAAGAACAGUUGGCUGCAGUUCAUGGGGAGAAGUUCAGGUUGGAUCAAAUUGUGAACAUCCACUAAGAGGGAUUGUCAGAGCUUGUUGCAAAAAACAAAUCCAGAAGCACACACAGAUAAACUGAUGCAGCAGGAUUCAUUAACUUCUUUAUAUUCACAAUAAUACAUGAAGUAAAUUUACAAUACCAACAGCAAA